GAGGCUGUGUUAUGUUUUAGUUGUUCUAUGCCUGACCAUUCUGCAUGACCAUCUGCUUAGUAGGCGCUCCCAAGUCACUUUUAGAACUUGAGGAUAACUUUGAAUCUUCAAUAAUUUGAGAGCAGUGAUUCAAGGGUUAACAAGCCACAUAUUCCCGGGGACUUAGAUCUGAGUUAGAUCUUUACCACCAAAGAAUGCUGGCUAGCACAAAUGGAAGAAGAAAUAGUACCCGUUUUGUCCUUUAAUACUCCUAAUUUCAGGCAAUGGAGCACAAAGACCAGCUCUCUACUUGGAAUGGAGUGGAAAAACAGAGAGCACAAACA